rnacentral:rRNA from 1 species
GACAGAGGGUGCAAACGUUGCUCGGAAUCACUGGGCGUAAAGGGUGCGUAGGCGGGUCUUUAAGUCAGGGGUGAAAUCCUGGAGCUCAACUCCAGAACUGCCUUUGAUACUGAGGAUCUUGAGUUCGGGAGAGGUGAGUGGAACUGCGAGUGUAGAGGUGAAAUUCGUAGAUAUUCGCAAGAACACCAGUGGCGAAGGCGGCUCAUUGGCCCGAUACUGACGCUGAGGCACGAAAGCGUGGGGAGCAAACAGG